rnacentral:tRNA from 1 species
ACCUACUUAACUCAGCGGUUAGAGUAUCACUUUCAUAAGGUAAGAGUAAUUAGUUCAAAUCCAAUAGUAGGUA